UAUCAUAUUUCAUUCUUUAUAGGGACUGUAAACAGCGUUCUGGAUUUCAAAGUAAAAUUGAGAAAAUAUAAAUAAUUGACUUUUAACUAGAGAAAAUUGAUUCUAUUUUAAAUUCUUUCUUUCUAUUAAACCAGAACAACCUAAUCACCAUGAUAUGCUUGAAAUUAGUCUAAAAUUACAGAUAGCAGGCCCUCCGCUGAAAUGGCUGAGCUCUCUGGUGCCCAUUUCAUUACACAAUCAUCAGGUGUAUAAACCAAGUUCAAUGAUGCGUAGAUGAAGCAGGAACCGAGUUUAAACCAGGAAGAUUAUCUGAAUUGUACUUAAAGAAGGGAGUUGGAGAAUAUACUUCAGUCCCGCAUACCAUCUAGCGGGGUUCACAUACACUUUAUAUUCAGCAAUGUUUUUAUCAAUUGGAAUAAAAUAUACAUUAAUAA